rnacentral:tRNA from 21 species
GGGGCUGUAGCUCAGCUGGGAGAGCACCUGCUUUGCAAGCAGGGGGUCGUCGGUUCGAUCCCGUCCAGCUCCACCA